rnacentral:misc_RNA from 1 species
CAGUACAAGCUGCAAAGCCGUGCGGCGCCUCUUGUCGGCGGGGGCUCAUCUAAGCACAUGCGCUUCAGAAAGUCACGGACUAAACUCACACGUGCGCGCACCUGACCUGUCUCCUUUCGUUGCUUCUCCGUUGUGUAAUGGAAAGCGUACGGUCAAACUGCGCUGGAACCCUCACAAGUCUGUAUCCCUCACUCUCCUUGGCUGUCUGCUUUACCUGCGACACGCUCUUCUCUCGUCAUCACUCUUUUCCCUUCACGCCACUUACAUGUUGAUGCGCGCGUGUGUGCGUGGCUGCGAGUGUAUUUAUCUUUGCAGUGUCCAUUUCCAGUGGUGUGAUGAACCAUGUUUCUCUCCCUCUCAUGGGGCUACCUCGCCACUGGUCAGCGUUUUGGAGUAACGCUGGAAGUACGAUGAUGUAUGUGAUGGAUGCUCGCUUCCGAGCAAUUUUUGUUUUGCGAGGAAGAGUGAUGAUAAGUAUGUGUUUGUCCUGGUGCAUCGCUGCAUGUCACUCUGUGCACCGGCCUAUGCCGCCUUCCCUUCGUUGUUGACCCUCUGCCUCUUUUUCUCUCGUCCGACUCCUGCUUUCCUCUGGACAUGUUGUGCGUGAGGGAAGCGACGUGGAGCUUGGGUGUUUGAUUGGGUAUGUGUGUGUGUGUGUGUGUGUAUGCGUGUUACAUGGGGUCUGUAUUUGAUCUGCAACGGUUUACGUGGCGCGCACGGUUCCUCGAGUGUAGCCGCGAAUACAGCAAGCCUCCCGGAGUUUCCCUUGGUAUCCGAGUCUCUGCUAUACGGUUCUGGCUGACGCCUGGCACCCGCAGAAAACCGCGUAAAAGCUGCCUCGUGAGAAGCAUGGCAUGGAGCGUUUCCUCCGGACUCUCUCUUUUGAUAGCCCUCGCUGCGGACUGUGAGCUUUUGUGGCCAGGACACAACGGCAUGUAAAAUGCACCUGCUCCUUGAGGGAUGCCGUUGCCAGGGGGAGGGACCGAGGUUCUCAAGGGCAUAACCCUUCUAACUCAACACCAUGGCUUAAAACCCGUGCAACCUAUGUCCUUUUGCUAUCUGUCUUUUCUGAACCGCCACACACACGAACAUCAUUUGCGGCUUCACUGUUGCCGUCCACACGCCUACGCACGGGCACACCCAUGCACCUGUCUUAUUGAUUUCCCACUCACAUCGUACCCCAUCAG